rnacentral:rRNA from 1 species
ACGCAAUAGAUACCCGGGUAGUCCUAGCCGUAAACGAUGACCACUAGGUGUGGGAGGUAUCGACCCCUUCCGUGCCGUCGUUAAACGCAGUAAAGUGGUCCGCCUGGGGAGUACGGUCGCAAGAUUAAACUCAAAGGAAUUGACGGGGACCCGCACAAGCAGCGGAGCGUGUGGUUUAAUUCGAAGCAACGCGCAGAACCUUACCAGGGCUUGACAUGCACGUGCACCACCCAGAGAUGGGUGUCCCUACGGGGCGCGUGCACAGGUGCUGCAUGGCUGUCGUCAGCUCGUGCCGUGAGGUGUUGGGUUAAGUCCCGCAACGAGCGCAACCCUUGUCGUCGGUUAUAGGUGUCCGACGAGACUGCCACGAUCAACGUGGAGGAAGGU